GUGAUGCUGAUACAGAAUACUUACAAGCAUGGCACAUCAGAGAUGACUGCAUUUCAGUGGUGAAAGAAGUGAUGUGUGUGUAUGUGUAUGCAUAUCAGUUGUCUUAAAAGAGCUUUGGAGCCUUUAGGAGUAAAGGGGCUCCACUACUAAACCUGAAAGAUAUUGGCAGAAUCACAGGAAGACAGAACCAUACAAACAGAUGUCCAAUGGAGCUGUUCUACCAGGAACUUCUCUUGGCCACAGCUGAUCAGGGAUUCCUUUAGAGAGAGAUUUCCAUCAUGCAGGACACACUGUGGGAAGGGAGAUCCUGACCUCAUGAAAGGCAUGCUGCAAAGCAAUAAAAGGAAGGGAGAUUGCAGAGGAAGGAUGAGAUCUAGAUGUGAUCUGGAGUGCAUUGUAUGGCCCUAUAUUAUUAGGUAUUUUUAUUUUGUUCUUGUUGUGUUUUGCCAAAAGAGAAAUUAUACUCUAAUUAGGAGAGGUUCAUCUUACAGAAAAAUAGAUAUUGCAAAAUUGAAUACAUUUUUGUCUCAGAGUGACU